rnacentral:lncRNA from 1 species
UUUUUUUCGUCUUUCCUCGUAAUAUUUAUUGUUAAAUUCAAAUGCGUGAUACAAAUCUCGAGAAAGUUCUUUCCUUUAGUGAUUAUAAUUACAAGAACACACACACACACACACACACACACACACACACACACACACACACACACAGAAAGGGAAAAAUAAUUGCGCUUUCUAUAUUUGGGCGUCUUCUCAAUUUCUCGUUAAUCGAUUUAAGUUUUCGCUUAAUUAAAGUCAACUAAAAAUCAACUAAAAAUUUGUGAUAAGCAUAGUCAUGACCGAUUAAAUUGGUUAUUAAAAUUCAAGAUACACAACUUAAAAGAUGUGAAAUCCUUUAUCAUAGUCAAGAAUCUUUCAAUCAUAAUUACCAUAAGCUAACGUUUAAAUUUGGCUUGGUACUUGAUUUUUUGAGCUGCGUCACUUGAAACGAAAUUUAAUCGCGUUCGAUUUAAUCGCUCCGUAACCAAACUAUUUUUCUCGCCGAACCGAGGAGAGGCUUCCUUCAUACUUCGUUCGUGUCCGGGGAAGGAAGUCCGUGAGAUUUCACCGCUUGCCACUAGAAGAUUAAAGAGGAAUCUCUAGUAAUCGAUCGCGUGUUCUUCUUUAUUUGCCUUUCACGCUUUUCCCCGCGGGGAAACUGCAAUUUCUGCAGAGUCUAACUGUAAUCCAUUGCAACUGCAUUCCGUUCUUCCCGGCCACGUUUGCAACCUGAAUUUACUUUCGCGUGAUGACGCCGGCAUUGGAAGCGUUUCAUUCUGGAAUAGUAGAGCGCACCUUAUCGAAGCUAAAGGGCCCCGCGGAACGCCUCUAAUCCCGGAAUCCGUUUUCGAACGCAAUAAAGAGCGCAAAGGCUAUUUGCGAUAAAGCUUAACGUUUGCCAAUUGAUAGCAACCGAUAACGAUAAGACCGAGUAUCGAGCGGGCAGGAGAAAGACACCUCAAUCGUCGUGAAAUCGUGGUCGAGUAAACCGAAGGGGCAGCGUGAGGAACGUGAUAAAUUGCGCCGUGAAAGAUGACACGUUCAUAUGUCCAGAUAAAUAUAUCCGUCAUGCAAUAUGCAUUGUGUUUUAAUGUUGUGGGCGUCGGCAAAAACUUUCAAAGAGAUUAACGUCAAUAAAUCGAGUUUAGUGAGCAACGGGCGGAUUGUAAAAUAUUCAAAGACAGGGAUUCCUCGAAGAUUCAACGGCAGAUUAGAGGGAAAAAUAGGAUUAUCGAAAAUCGUUUAAGGAUCCGACAAUCGAGGAAUCGCUACAAUGGCUGAAAGAACGUCGGUGGCUGACAGUGAAAAAGUGGAAGAAAUCGCGCCCGAUAAGACGCAAGAGGUCAACGCCAUUUUGUCAAAGGAGACGCCGGUUGUCACGGAAGACGGAAGCGAAAUUAAAAGUCGGACCAAGAGGAACAUCAUCGCCGUGCCGGAACGAAACGAGAUGGAGAGAGACGGGACGACGUAUCGCCGUGAUAUGAACGGACGAUGGAGGCCCGUAUUGUAUUGAUUAACGUUUCACACGAUUUGACGAUACAAGCAUCAUCUCACAAACAUAUAUUGCAAUGAAAUAUCACAUGACGAGAGAUUGAUUAUUUAUCUACUCAACAUUAUUGGACUAUUUCAUCAGUAAUAUGAUUAUCAAUGUAUAUUUGUUUUUCGUGUGUCAUUGAUUACGCGAUAAUUUGUGGUCACAAUAUGGAUUCCGAUUUAUUGUAAUAAAAUAUCUGUCUAUCAAUCUAUGUCUCUUUUAUUUUUAAACGUAUAAAAUAAAAACCAUGUAUGUACGUCAAAAUCUAACAAUAAAUAGAAAAAACCACAGAGUUGUAUGUUUGUAUACAUCACACGUCACUACAUGUAUUGAAUUUAAAUGACAAAUGAAUCGCCGAAUUUGAAACUGAUUUUUCCCUAUAGACGUUUAAUUAUAAUUUCUAUCGUGUACAGAGAAGCAACUACAACAAAUAUUUAAUUAAAAUAAAAUGUUAUUUAUAAAUGUAUGCCCGUAUCUAUGUUCUAUUUCCAGUGCAUUCUUUAGGUCAGCUAUAUCAUCAGCUUCUAACAUUUAUUGGUUUAUACACGGUAUUAUCAGCGACGUGAUAAACGCCAGCGGUUAAUUUAAAGCCGAAAAUGUAAUAAAAUAUAAGUAUAUCGUUAUUUAUCUUUCUAUUCAGACAUAAAUUUGUUUAUCGAUGUACAGAUUGACCUAUUUUUUAUUGAUCGACCAAAGAUAUUUUUAAAGAUCUUUAACCAUGUCAAGAUCGAUGUUAGAGUUUGUCACGUUGGUCUGUAGCUAGCGGAGCUAUAGCGCCUCAGGAGAGGAGGGGGGAGGGGGAGUCAUAGGACAUGCAAAGCUUAGCCUGUAUCUGUAUAUUACCCCAACGGGUACAUUAUUUAACAGUUUAGAGUUAGAGUUGUGUGAAUGCUCCACUUAUAUUAAAGUUUCACAGACGUUUACACGGAAGAACGGCGGAGUGUUCUAGCUACGAUGUUCAUUGACGACACUGAUAUUUGUAGACUUCGAUUGCGAAGAACAACUCUUUAAUCCAAACGAUUCUAAUUUUUAUUGUAAUGAAGCAAAGUGCUUCGUCGGAAGUAACGUUUCUAAGUAUAAAUAGAAAACAUGCGAUGGCGAAGCGGUAAGAUACUUGCCGAGAUAAAUAGAGUAAAGAAGCAUUAAGAGCGAGAAAGGUUCGAAGAAGAUUCACCCAAGUUACGACAGUGAAAAGAAUCGAGAGGAUAGAGAAAGAGAUUAAAAGAAAAAGGAAAUUAGAAGCGCGGGGAUUCCGAUUUUUAUCUGCACUUCUACUUAUUUGUACUUUCGAGCCAAGAAAUUAUUGUGUCGCUUUGAGAUGAAAUUGUUCAUGAGGUAUUUUGCUGAUACUCGUGACGAUGAUGUUAACCUUGAUACCAUCGCCGAUUGGUCAGGAGGACAAGAAUGUAACAUAUACACAGCCCGAGUUUGGUACCCAGCGCAGAAUUAUAGUGGUACCCGCAAGAACAACUGCAAAACCAUGUCCGGAACGCCAGAGACAGGAUUCCAGAGGAACAUGUCGCACGCCUCUAUAAUGACCGAGAAACACAGGCUUAUGGAUAUCAU